GUCAGGUACUGACUACAUUACAGGGUAGUGAUCAAUAGACGGGGUAAGGUCAGGUACUGACUACAUUACAGGGUAGUGAUCAAUAGACGGGGAAAGGUACUGACUACAUUACAGGGUAGUGAUCAAUAGACGGGGUAAGGUACUGACUACAUUACAGGGUAGUGAUCAAUAGAGGGGGAAAGGUAAGGUACUGACUACAUUACAGGGUAGUGAUCAAUAGAUGGGGAAAGGUACUGACUACAUUACAGGGUAGUGAUCAAUAGACGGGGAAAGGUAAGGUACUGACUACAUUACAGGGUAGUGAUCAAU
rnacentral:lncRNA from 1 species